CGGGGCAUGCAGGUGGCCAUUGUGGCCUGCGGAGUAGUACGAGUGUGCCUGGGAGCUCCCUCUCUGCGAUGCACGGCAGGAUCGGUUCUCUCACCAAUCUCAGAAGCCCUGGCCAGUUUUUCUUUCGGUUUGUCUCUACGGCUUCACGUUGUGCAGAGAGAUUCUUCCUGCAAGAGCUGAAGUUCGCGGAGUGACGAUGCUCGCUUUUUGGGGGUCUGUCCUGGCACUGUUUGUGUCUGUUCUUCUCCUGGUAUUUGCGGCCGCGCCUUAUUACAGGAAAUACAUUGCAGGAGGAGUGUGCAAAUCUACAGCUAAGCUGAAUGGGAAGGUUGUAGUGAUCACAGGGGCCAACGCUGGCAUAGGGAAGGAAACUGCCAAAGAUUUUGCAGGAAGAGGUGCCAGAGUCAUCCUUGCUUGCAGAGAUAUGGCAAAGGCAGAAACAGCAGCCUGUGAAAUCCGGAGCAAGACAGGAAACCAGCAAGUUAUUGCAAGGAAACUGGACUUGGCAAACACCAAGUCGAUCCGAGAAUUUGCUGAGAAUUUCCUAAAAGAGGAGAAAGAACUCCAUAUCCUCAUUAACAAUGCAGGGGUUAUGCUGCACCCCUACUCCAAGACAGCAGAUGGCUUUGAGAUGCAUUUCAGUGUCAACUACCUUGGGCACUUCCUUUUAACGUUCCUAUUGCUAGAGCGCCUGAAGCAAUCUGCACCAGGUCGCAUAGUGAAUGUAUCCUCGCUAGCUCAUCAUGGCGGGAGAAUUCGCUUCCAUGACCUCCAGGGUGAGAAGUGCUACAAUCGAGCCCUGGCAUAUUGUCACAGCAAACUGGCCAAUAUUCUCUUUACCCGGGAGUUGGCCAGACGACUGCAAGGCACUGAUAUCACUGUAAAUGCCGUGUAUCCUGGCAUAGUCUCUACCGAAUUGACCCGUCAUUCACCUGUAUUGGAUACUCUGCGGAAAAGUGUGCCUUUCUUGUUGAAGACACCACCAGAAGGAGCCCAAACCAGUGUGUAUUGUGCAGUGGCAGAGGAGCUGGAGUCAGUGACUGGGAAGUAUUUCAGGCGCCAUUUCGAUCUGCCCAUUUUUCCCGCCCUUUCUGUUCUCCUUCACUUGUUUGUACAGUUAUUUAGUCAGGCUAUCCAAGUGCCUGUAGGACUUAUUUUUACAACAAGUGCCUCUGCACAGCAACUGCAUAUUCGGACUGCACCUUGAAAUUAUCUGUGCCGCAGCUGUAUAUUGGAACUGUACGCCACACCGCACCCCCCACCUCUGUGCGUGUGUUGGUGUUAUAUAUACCGUGUGGUGGUGAAAGUCCCUUGCCACACCGCACCCCCCACCUCUGUGCGUGUGUUGGUAUAGCAUUGCUGGGCGCUCAGAAUGGCGGAUUAAUGGGCCGAAAUACAUCUACUUUCGCUGAGAGCAGAACAUCUCCGAAGUGUGUUAAACGUUGCGUCCGACUGGCUCAGCAGACAACAAGUGAUCCCAGGAGAAUGGAAGCUACACCCCAUGGUGUUCAGCCUUCUCCAACGACGGUUCGGCAUCCUCUCAGUGGAUCUGUUUGCAUCCAGUCACAAUUACCAGCUACCUCGCUACUUCUCCAGGUAUCUGGACAACGACGUGGAAUCAAUGGAUGCACUGUUGACUCAGUGGCCAGCAGGCCUCCUGUAUGCUUUUCCCCCGAUACCGCUAUUGGGCAAGACCAUCAGGAAGCUGCGACGCGAAAGGGCCCAUCUGAUCCUGAUAGCACCGUACUGGCUUCGUCGGCCGUGGUUCUCCGACCUGCUCUCCCUUUCAGUGACAGAGUCUUGGAGGUUGCCACUCAGACCAGAUCUUCUAUCUCAGGGCCCGAUUUGGCAUCCGGAUCCCGAAUGGCUCAAUCUGACAGCGUGGCAUUUGAACGCGGACAUUUGAUUCAUUCAGGAUUGUCUAAGGAAGUUGUGGACACAAUUCUCGCGUCUCGAAAGCAGUCGACCUCUCCGGUCUACCAGAGCACCUGGACUACCUUCGCUAGUUGGUGUGACUCUCAAAACGUUCUACCAUCUCAGGCCAAGGUUCAACAUCUACUGCAAUUUUUACAUAGAGGCCUGAAAAUGGGACUGAAACCUAACACCUUACGCCGCCACCAUUUCAUCUAUUCUCUCCGUCACGUCUCCUACUAUUCCUAUGGGUUCACACCCACUGGUCAAACGUUUUUUGAAGGGGGCCGUCCUACUGUCGCCAGCAGUUUGUCAUCGCUUUCCGUCGUGGAGUUUAUCGAAGGUCCUGCAAGCCCUGCAGCGCCCUCCUUUUGAGCCCCUUCGAUCUGUUCCUUUACGUCUUUUGGCCUUCAAAGUCCUGUUCCUCGUGGUGAUCACCUCGGCAAGAAGAAUCUCAGAGUUGGGGGCACUGUUCUCAGCCCGCCAACUCUAUAUUUCCAUAAGGACUCAGUGGUACUAUGUCUAGAUCCUUCCUUCCGUCCCAAGGUCAUUUCGGCGUUCCACUGUAACCAAGACAUUGUUUUGCCUUCGUUCUGUCUGGAACCUGUUCAUCCGCUCGAGAAGGCCUGGCACUCGCUAGAUGUCUGGAGGGCUCUCAAGACAUACCUGUCUCGCACCCAGGACAUACGGUCAACGGAUUCCUUAUUUGUAUCCUUUCACCCGCGUACUCUGGGGCAAAAGGUGUCUAGCUCUAAGUUAUCUUGUUGGUUGCGUGCCUGUAUUGCAUUGGCCUAUGAGUCACUUCAGCUGCCAGUGCCUCGUAACAUAACGGCACAUUCCACUAGGUCAGCUGCCACUACGGCUGCCUUCGCAACCAAUGCUCCUCUAGCAGAGAUUUGCAGAGCGGCUGUAUGGUCUACCCCAAAUUCUUUCAUAAGACAUUAUAAGAUAGACCGUUACGCUUCUGCUGAUGCCUCAUUCGGGAGGCGUGUUUUACAACAGGUUAUUUCUGCUAAGUAGCCAAGAGGCGGUCCCUCCCUAUUAGAGGCUGCUUUGGUACAUCCCACAUGAUGUCGGACUACCUAAGGAAAAUGUACCAUUGGUAUCACCUGAAGGGUGAUUUUCUUAGGUAGUCCGACAUCACGGCCCUCCCUUUUUGGAGGAUUUGGGGUUUUUUGCUACCUAACCACUUAUUACUCUUCAGUGUUAUAAUAUUUAAACUUUUUUACCAAGUCAAGACCAAUUUGGACCUGUUUAAUAUGCUUGCGAUCUUUGGGUCAUGUUUUGGGACACUGUUUCCUUGCUGUUAGGCCCGUUGGCCUUUUAUGUCUUUUCAGAUAUGUCUCUCACUUCGGUCUCGUCACGAAUGAACUGGAGUGGGAGGGGCUCGAUGCCCCAGGUCUUGACUUCGAUCCAUUCUUGCCUUCGGACGCUAGAUGGUGCUAUAUCCCAUGUGAUGUCGGACUACCUAAGAAAAUCACCCUUCAGUGACUGUAAACCGGCAUAUGUAUCUCCUCAAGGACGCAAUGAUGAAACAGCAAAGCAGCUCUGGACUGUCAGCUGUGAACUACUAG